rnacentral:misc_RNA from 1 species
GAUGAAGAACGCAGCGAAAUGCGAUAAGUAGUGUGAAUUGCAGAAUUCAGUGAAUCAUCGAAUUUUUGAACGCACAUUGCGCCCUUUGGUAUUCCUUAGGGCAUGCCUGUUCGAGCGUCAUUUAAACCUUCAAGCUCAGCUUGGUGUUGGGUGACUGUCCGCUUCACCGCGGACUCGCCUCAAAAUUAUUGGCGGCCGGUACAUUGGCUUCGAGCGCAGCAGAAACGCGAACUCGGGCCCGUCGUAUUGGCUCCCAGAAGCUAUCUUCACAAUUUUGACCUCGGAUCAGGUAGGGAUACCCGCUGAACUUAAGCAUAUCAAUAAGCGGAGGA